UUAAAACUGAUUUUCAUGCCUGGCGUUCAAUUUUAUCGGACAACUCGGGAGAUUUUUCCUUCAACUGGUAUCAGAGCCAGGUUGGCCGAUAGAAUUGGCCUAUAACAUUUAGAAUUAUGCAUGAUUUAAUUUUAAAUUUAGAUUAUAUCUAGAUUUAAUGAUAAAAUAUCAAUCUUGUGCUGAAUUAUAAGGUUGUCCUGUUAUAAGAUUAACCCCUUAUAGUGAAAAAGUUGUCCUAGCAUAAAAUGGAGAUUAAUUUGUAUCAUAAAAUAAAUAGUUUAUUUUUGUAAAAUUAUGCAUAAUUGAUGUUUAUGAAAUUUCAGUUUUAAAUUUAUUAUGACCACAAAAUUUAAAUAUAAAUUAUUUAUAUUUGGAAUAAAUUGACACCUUGAAUCCAUGAUCAUAAUACAUUUAAUUAAG
rnacentral:lncRNA from 1 species